rnacentral:lncRNA from 1 species
UUGAGUGCUUCCUCAUAAUUGCGCGGCUUAUUCCCAUUAUAAGUCGUGCCAAAAUUGUUGGUUCGUCACUAAUUUUGAAAACCAAUGUUGGUAUUAGCAACAAAAUCUGACCCGCCGUCGGGAUGCUUGCGUUUUCCACCAUUGCCCUGAUUGUUCUGCUUUCCUUGAUGCGCCGAAUUGUGUUGCUAUGACCUUUGCUACUGUCAUGCUUCUUCCCUUUGCCAGAUUUAUCCGCAUCUAAGCCAGGAUCUUUAGUGUUGUCAUACUCAACAUACCUAGUAAGGACAUCCAUGAGAUCUCCCAUAUCUUGAACCUUUCACUUGAGGCAUCCAAGCUUCUGAACAAGUGGUUUGAAGUGUUGGAAAUAUGCCCUAGACGCAAUAAUAAAAUAGUUAUUACUAUAUUUCCUUCUUCAAUAUAAUUGUUUAUUAUCCAUGCUAGAUUUGUAUUGAUUGGAAACUAAAUACAUGUGUGGAUACAUAGACAACACACUGCCCCUAGUAAGCCU